rnacentral:rRNA from 1 species
GAUGAACGCUAGCGGAAGGCUUAAUACAUGCAAGUCGAGCGGUAAAAAUCUGAGCAAUUGGAUUUGAGAGCGGCGCACGGGUGAGUAACGCGUACAUGACCUACCUUUAAGAUCGGGAUAGCCCUGGGAAACUGGGAUUAAUACCGGAUGUGAUAAUAAGUAUAGAGAUUUAUUAUUAAAGCUGAGGCGCUUAGAGAUGGGUGUGCGUCUGAUUAGCUAGUUGGUAGGGUAAAGGCCUACCAAGGCGACGAUCAGUAGGGGCGUGAGAGCGUGAUCCCCCACACGGGUACUGAGACACGGACCCGACUCCUACGGGAGGCAGCAGUAGGGAAUAUUGGUCAAUGGACGGAAGUCUGAACCAGCCAUUCCGCGUGCAGGAAGAAGAUUCUAUGGAUUGUAAACUGCUUUUAGCAGAGAAGAAAAGCCUUCAUUGAUGGGGGUCUGACGGUAUCUGCGGAAUAAGCACCGGCUAACUCCGUGCCAGCAGCCGCGGUAAACACG